rnacentral:rRNA from 1 species
AACGUAGGGGGCGAGCGUUAUCCGGAUUUACUGGGCGUACAGGGUGUGCAGGCUGCCCCUCAAGGGGUGUAUGAAAGGGCUCGGCUCAACCGGGCUAGGUUAUGCCAGACUGAGGGGCUAGAGAGCGAGAGCGGGACGUGGAAUUCCGGGUGUAGUGGUGAAAUGCGUAGAGAUCCGGAGGAACACCUAUGGCGAAAGCAGCUGCCUGGGCCUUUACUGACGCUAAGACUCGAAAGCUGGGGGAGCAAACAGG